CCUACGGGGGGCAGCAGUGAGGAAUAUUGGUCAAUGGGCGCGAGCCUGAACCAGCCAAGUCGCGUGAGGGAGGACGGCCCUACGGGUUGUAAACCUCUUUUGCCGGGGAGCAACGGGCGUCACGUGUGGCGCCACUGAGAGUACCCGGAGAAAAAGCAUCGGCUAACUCCGUGCCAGCAGCCGCGGUAAUACGGAGGAUGCGAGCGUUAUCCGGAUUUAUUGGGUUUAAAGGGUGCGUAGGCGGAUGGUUAAGUCAGUUGUGAAAGUUUGCGGCUCAACCGUAAAAUUGCAGUUGAAACUGGCAGUCUGGAGUACAGUAGAGGUGGGCGGAAUUCGUGGUGUAGCGGUGAAAUGCUUAGAUAUCACGAAGAACUCCGAUUGCGAAGGCAGCUCACUGGACUGCAACUGACACUGAGGCUCGAAAGUGUGGGUAUCAAACAGGAUUAGAUACCCCUGUAGUC
rnacentral:rRNA from 1 species